GAGUUUGAUCCUGGCUCAGAACGAACGCUGGCGGCAGGCUUAACACAUGCAAGUCGAGCGAGAUCUUCGGGUCUAGCGGCGGACGGGUGAGUAACGCGUGGGAACGUGCCCUUUGCUACGGAAUAGUCCUGGGAAACUGGGGGUAAUACCGUAUACGCCCUUUUGGGGAAAGAUUUAUCGGCGAAGGAUCGGCCCGCGUUGGAUUAGGUAGUUGGUGGGGUAAUGGCCUACCAAGCCUACGAUCCAUAGCUGGUUUGAGAGGAUGAUCAGCCACACUGGGACUGAGACACGGCCCAGACUCCUACGGGAGGCAGCAGUGGGGAAUCUUAGACAAUGGGGGCAACCCUGAUCUAGCCAUGCCGCGUGAGUGAUGAAGGCCUUAGGGUUGUAAAGCUCUUUCAGCUGGGAAGAUAAUGACGGUACCAGCAGAAGAAGCCCCGGCUAACUCCGUGCCAGCAGCCGCGGUAAUACGGAGGGGGCUAGCGUUGUUCGGAAUUACUGGGCGUAAAGCGCACGUAGGCGGACCAGAAAGUUGGGGGUGAAAUCCCGGGGCUCAACCUCGGAACUGCCUUCAAAACUAUUGGUCUUGAGUUCGAGAGAGGUGAGUGGAAUUCCGAGUGUAGAGGUGAAAUUCGUAGAUAUUCGGAGGAACACCAGUGGCGAAGGCGGCUCACUGGCUCGAUACUGACGCUGAGGUGCGAGAGCGUGGGGAGCAAACAGGAUUAGAUACCC
rnacentral:rRNA from 1 species